rnacentral:rRNA from 1 species
CGGGGGCAUGGUCGUCCUCCGGACACCAAAGGCGCAAAAAACAUAACUUGAAACGUAUGCGGGAUUACGGGCGCGGCUCUGCGCAGCGCCCCUCCAUCCCCGGGUGUUGUACCCGGCAUGCGGUGGCGGGCCCUCGGGCCUGCCGCCGUGCCACAACAUACCGCGAGUGUGCAGGAUGUGACCCGAAAGAUGGUGAACUAUGCCUGAUCAGGUUGAAGUCAGGGGAAACCCUGAUGGAGGACCGAAGCAGUUCUGACGUGCAAAUCGAUUGUCAGAAUUGGGCAUAGGGGCGAAAGACCAAUCGAACCAUCUAGUAGCUGGUUCCUUCCGAA